AAAGUAGAACAAAAUAUAUAUUUCUUUAUUUGAAGGUGUUCCUAAUUUUGGUUGAGGGGUAAACAAGUAAUUUUUUAAAAAAUUAUUAUAUAUAAAUUUUUUUUUCAGGUCAGAUGUUCCUAGAAACAUCCUGGAUUGUAUGUAGUGCCGCUACUGUACAAACUGAUAUGCCACCAAUCAUAGAGAGCCGAUUCAAAUAUUCAUUUACAAGUUUUUAAGCUAUGAGUCUCGUCAUUGCAACAUAGAGAGCAAGUUCCAUCACGAAAAUGUCCGCAACAAUGAACGCAGGGCAAGAGGUACUUUGCAUCAUUUACUUGGAUUGUUCCCGUAGCCACCUCCACUGUAUAAAAUAUCAAGUAUUAUAACCUAUAACCCUUGUAAUGUACUUAUCAUCAUGAUAAUUAAAUGCAUCAUACAUAUACUUGGUUUAUUGCAAUUCUCAUAUCAGAGAAAUGAGCCCAUUUAUAAUUUUUAUACUA